rnacentral:rRNA from 1 species
UUACAGGCUUAACACAUGCAAGUCGAGGGGCAGCAUUUUAGUUUGCUUGCAAACUGAAGAUGGCGACCGGCGCACGGGUGAGUAACACGUAUCCAACCUGCCGAUAACUCCGGAAUAGCCUUUCGAAAGAAAGAUUAAUACCGGAUAGCAUACGAAUAUCGCAUGAUAUUUUUAUUAAAGAAUUUCGGUUAUCGAUGGGGAUGCGUUCCAUUAGUUUGUUGGCGGGGUAACGGCCCACCAAGACUACGAUGGAUAGGGGUUCUGAGAGGAAGGUCCCCCACAUUGGAACUGAGACACGGUCCAAACUCCUACGGGAGGCAGCAGUGAGGAAUAUUGGUCAAUGGGCGAGAGCCUGAACCAGCCAAGUAGCGUGAAGGAUGAAGGCUCUAUGGGUCGUAAACUUCUUUUAUAUGGGAAUAAAGUUUUCCACGUGUGGAAUUUUGUAUGUACCAUAUGAAUAAGGAUCGGCUAACUCCGUGCCAGCAGCCGCGGUAAUACGGAGGAUCCGAGCGUUAUCCGGAUUUAUUGGGUUUAAAGGGAGCGUAGGUGGAUUGUUAAGUCAGUUGUGAAAGUUUGCGGCUCAACCGUAAAAUUGCAGUUGAAACUGGCAGUCUUGAGUACAGUAGAGGUGGGCGGAAUUCGUGGUGUAGCGGUGAAAUGCUUAGAUAUCACGAAGAACUCCGAUUGCGAAGGCAGCUCACUAGACUGUCACUGACACUGAUGCUCGAAAGUGUGGGUAUCAAACAGGAUUAGAUACCCUGGUAGUCCACACAGUAAACGAUGAAUACUCGCUGUUUGCGAUAU